GUUUCCGUCGAUUAGUGGUCAGAUCAUCACGUUGUGGUUCCGUCAGUAGGAAGGACAAGACCGUGGAGACGAGGGCUCGACUCCCUCCGGAAACA